rnacentral:rRNA from 1 species
AUUGAACGCUGGCGGCAGGCUUAACACAUGCAAGUCGAGCGGGGGAGGUUGCUUCGGUAACUGACCUAGCGGCGGACGGGUGAGUAAUGCUUAGGAAUCUGCCUAUUAGUGGGGGACAACAUCUCGAAAGGGAUGCUAAUACCGCACACGUCCUACGGGAGAAAGCAGGGGACCUUCGGGCCUUGCGCUAAUAGAUGAGCCUAAGUCGGAUUAGCUAGUUGGUGGGGUAAAGGCCUACCAAGGCGACGAUCUGUAGCGGGUCUGAGAGGAUGAUCCGCCACACUGGGACUGAGACACGGCCCAGACUCCUACGGGAGGCAGCAGUGGGGAAUAUUGGACAAUGGGGGGAACCCUGAUCCAGCCAUGCCGCGUGUGUGAAGAAGGCCUUUUGGUUGUAAAGCACUUUAAGCGAGGAGGAGGCUACUGGUAUUAAUACUACCGGAUAGUGGACGUUACUCGCAGAAUAAGCACCGGCUAACUCUGUGCCAGCCGCCGCCGUAAGAC